rnacentral:rRNA from 1 species
GACGAACGCCGGCGGCGUGCCUAAUACAUGCAAGUAGAACGCUGAAGCUUGGUGCUUGCACCGAGCGGAUGAGUUGCGAACGGGUGAGUAACGCGUAGGUAACCUGCCUCUUAGCGGGGGAUAACUAUUGGAAACGAUAGCUAAUACCGCAUAAAAGUCGACAUCGCAUGAUGUUGACUUGAAAGGUGCAAUUGCAUCACUAAGAGAUGGACCUGCGUUGUAUUAGCUAGUUGGUGAGGUAACGGCUCACCAAGGCGACGAUACAUAGCCGACCUGAGAGGGUGAUCGGCCACACUGGGACUGAGACACGGCCCAGACUCCUACGGGAGGCAGCAGUAGGGAAUCUUCGGCAAUGGGGGCAACCCUGACCGAGCAACGCCGCGUGAGUGAAGAAGGUUUUCGGAUCGUAAAGCUCUGUUGUAAGAGAAGAACGAGUGUGAGAGUGGAAAGUUCACACUGUGACGGUAACUUACCAGAAAGGGACGGCUAACUACGUGCCAGCAGCCGCGGUAAUACGUAGGUCUCGAGCGUUAUCCGGAUUUAUUGGGCGUAAAGCGAGCGCAGGCGGUUAGAUAAGUCUGAAGUUAAAGGCUGUGGCUUAACCAUAGUACGCUUUGGAAACUGUUUAACUUGAGUGCAGAAGGGGAGAGUGGAAUUCCAUGUGUAGCGGUGAAAUGCGUAGAUAUAUGGAGGAACACCGGUGGCGAAAGCGGCUCUCUGGUCUGUAACUGACGCUGAGGCUCGAAAGCGUGGGGAGCAAACAGG